rnacentral:rRNA from 1 species
CGAAGGGUGCAAGCGUUAUUCGGAAUAACUGGGUGUAAAGGGCGUGCAGGCGGCCUGCUAAGUCAAUCGUUAAAGAGCCCAGCUUAACUGGGCAAAGGCGAGUGAAGCUGGUUGGCUAGAGUAUGGGAGAGAAGAGUGGAAUUCUCGGAGUAGCGGUAAAAUGCGUAGAUCUCGAGAGGAACACCGGUUGCGAAGGCGGCUCUUUGGCCCAUUACUGACGCUUAAGCGCGAAAGCGUGGGGAGCAAACAGGAUUAGAUACCCUGGUAGUCCACGCCGUAAACGAUGAUCACUAGAUGUGGGUUUUGCAUAGCAGACUCCGUGUCGAAGCUAACGCGUUAAGUGAUCCACCUGGGGAGUACGGUCGCAAGAUUA